UAAGGACAGAUGAGAAAUGUUGUAUUUUGGUAGAAGAGUUUGCUGAUUUUCAUUUUUUCCCUUCCCUCCAGCAUCCUCCCACUCCAGGUCUGUGGGCCUAGGAGCGGCGGCCGCAGCAGUUCUGCUGCUCCUGGGGGCAGGCGUUGUCUGGAAAAUAAUCUCCAAGCAGAAGGAAGGCUAUUAUCGUACCUAUGAGAACUACAAUUACAGAACCCCCCUGAACUCAGCAACUGAGCACAAAGACUUGUGUCUGCCAUAGGAGGCUGGGCAUCCGUGCUGCUGCUAACCAGGCACCGGGCUCCGAGGAAACGCUGCUUACAUGGAGACUGGAAUUCUGUGCCCAAAAAAGGACAUUUUACUGUAAAUCUUGAAUGCUUUUCUGCUCUCAGUAGUUACUGUGAGGAUUUAACGAGGCUCAGAUGGCACAGUGCAGGUGCUGCCUCGGAGGGAAUUCUGUGCGCUGCUCCUGAUGAAGAAUAUUUCCUUUAUCCCCAAAAAACUGGAUAACCAAGAAGAUAAACCUGAGCUUUGGCAGACAGAAACAUAACCCCCAUUCCCUGUCUCCCUGCACCCACCAAAACACACCUGGGCAAGGUGUUAAUUAAUUAAUGUCUUAAUUACAGCUGUAUUUACAUCUUUAUUUCCUUCCAGCAAUGCUUAUGUGCAGCAUUCUUCUACCAAUGCUUAACCUAAUAAAAGCUGAUGAUUACAA